CACGCCGUAAACGAUGGAUGCUAGAUGUCGGGGGGUUGCCCUCGGUGUCGUAGUUAACGCGUUAAGCAUCCCGCCUGGGGAGUACGGUCGCAAGGCUGAAACUCAAAGAAAUUGACGGGGGCCCGCACAAGCGGUGGAGUAUGUGGUUUAAUUCGAUGCAACGCGAAGAACCUUACCUGGACUUGACAUCCCCUGAAUGACUCGUAAUGGAGGAAGCCCUACGGGGCAGGGAGACAGGUGG
rnacentral:rRNA from 1 species